GAGAUCCUAGUAAAAAUCAUUACACUGCCUUGUCAGGGCAAAAUUGUGGGUUUAACUCCCACGAAUCUU
rnacentral:tRNA from 1 species